rnacentral:rRNA from 1 species
AACGAACGCUGGCGGCAUGCCUAACACAUGCAAGUCGAACGAGACCUUCGGGUCUAGUGGCUCACGGGUGCGUAACGCGUGGGAACCUGCCCUUAGGUUCGGAAUAACUCCCCGAAAGGGGUGCUAAUACCGGAUAAUGUCUUCGGACCAAAGAUUUAUCGCCUUUGGAUGGGCCCGCGUUGGAUUAGCUAGUUGGUAGGGUAAAAGCCUACCAAGGCGACGAUCCAUAGCUGGUCUGAGAGGAUGAUCAGCCACACUGGGACUGAGACACGGCCCAGACUCCUACGGGAGGCAGCAGUGGGGAAUAUUGGACAAUGGGCGAAAGCCUGAUCCAGCAAUGCCGCGUGAGUGAUGAAGGCCUUAGGGUUGUAAAGCUCUUUUACCCGGGAUGAUAAUGACAGUACCGGGAGAAUAAGCUCCGGCUAACUCCGUG